GACUGGUGAGCUAACACGUGGGUAUUUGCCUUUUAGUGAAGAAUAUGCUAGAGAAAUUUAGUGUAAUACUGCAUAAGUUCCUUCGGGAAGAAAGAUGGCUUAAUUGCUGUCGCUGAAAGAUAAGCCUGCGCACUAUUAGCUAGUUGGUGAGGUAAAUGCUUACCAAGGCGAUGAUGGUUAUCCGGCCUGAGAGGGUGAUCGGACACAUUGGGACUGAGAUACGGCCCUGACUCCUACGGGAGGCAGCAGUGGGGGAUUUUGCGCAAUGGGCGAAAGCCUGACGCAGCAACGCCGCGUGAAGGAUGAAGGUUUUAGGAUUGUAAACUUCUGUUAAUCGGCAAGAAAUGUUGAUAGUUAAUAGCUGUCGAAGAUGACGUUACCGAUUUAGAAAGCUCCGGCUAACUUCGUGCCAGCAGCCGCGGUAAUACGAGGGGAGCAAACGUUAUUCCGAAUUAUUGGGCGUAAAGGGCGCGUAGGCGGCGUAAUAAGUUUGUUGUUUAAUUUCCUGGCCUAACUGGGAGCAAGCAAUAAAUACUGUUACGCUAGAGUAUGGUAGAGAGAGAUGGAAUUUUCGGAGUAGCGGUCAAAUGCGUAGAUCUCGAAAGGAACGCCAAUGGCGAAGGCAGCCUCUUGGGCCAUUACUGACGCUAAUGUGCGAAAGCGUCGGGAGCAAACAGGAUUAGAUACCCUGGUAGCCCACGCAGUAAACGAUGAUCAUUAGGCGUCUGGAGCUUGUCCCCUGGGGCCGCAGCUAACGCGAUAAAUGAUCCGCCUGGGGAGUACGGUCCCCAGAAUAAAACUUAAAAAAUUUGCCGCGGGUCCGCCCAAACCGGAGAAAAUUGGGUUAAAUUCAAUCCUAC
rnacentral:rRNA from 1 species